rnacentral:rRNA from 1 species
AAUCAACAUGACUCUCGGCAACGGAUAUCUCGGCUCUCGCAUCGAUGAAGAACGUAGCAAAAUGCGAUACCUGGUGUGAAUUGCAGAAUCCCGUGAACCAUCGAGUUUUUGAACGCAAGUUGCGCCCGAGGCCUUCUGGUUGAGGGCACGUCUGCCUGGGCGUC